AGCGAACGCUGGCGGCAGGCCUAACACAUGCAAGUCGAACGGAUCCUUCGGGAUUAGUGGCGGACGGGUGAGUAACACGUGGGAACGUGCCCUCUGGUUCGGAACAACUCAGGGAAACUUGAGCUAAUACCGGAUGUGCCCUUCGGGGGCAAGAUUUAUCGCCAGUGGAGCGGCCCGCGUCUGAUUAGUUAGUUAGUGAGGUAAAGGCUCACCAAGGCGACGAUCAGUAGCUGGUCUGAGAGGAUGAUCAGCCACAUUGGGACUGAGACACGGCCCAAUCUCCUAAGGGAGGCAGCAGUUGGGAAUCUUGCGCAAUGGGCGAAAGCCUGACGCAGCCAUGCCGCGUGAAUGAUGAAGGUCUUAGGAUUGUAAAAUUCUUUCACCGGGGACGAUAAUGACGGUACCCGGAGAAGAAGCCCCGGCUAACUUCGUGCCAGCCGCCGCCGUAA
rnacentral:rRNA from 1 species